rnacentral:rRNA from 1 species
ACGGGAGGCAGCAGUGGGGGAUAUUGCACAAUGGGGGAAACCCUGAUGCAGCGACGCCGCGUGAGUGAAGAAGUAUUUCGGUAUGUAAAGCUCUAUCAGCAGGGAAGAUAAUGACGGUACCUGACUAAGAAGCCCCGGCUAACUACGUGCCAGCAGCCGCGGUAAUACGUAGGGGGCAAGCGUUAUCCGGAUUUACUGGGUGUAAAGGGAGCGUAGACGGCAUGGCAAGUCUGAUGUGAAAACCCGGGGCUCAACCCCGGGACUGCAUUGGAAACUGUCAGGCUAGAGUGCAGGAGAGGUAAGUGGAAUUCCUAGUGUAGCGGUGAAAUGCGUAGAUAUUAGGGGGAACACCAGUGGCGAAGGCGGCUUACUGGACUGUAACUGACGUUGAGGCUCGAAAGCGUGGGGAGCGAACAGGAUUAGAUACCCUGGUA